UACAGAGGGUGCAAACGUUGUUCGGAUUUACUGGGCGUAAAGGGCGCGUAGGCGGCGCGGAUAGUCGGCGGUGAAAGCCCGGAGCUCAACUCCGGGUCGGCCGUCGAUACUUCCGGGCUUGAGCACUGUAGAGGCAGAUGGAAUUCCGGGUGUAGCGGUGGAAUGCGUAGAGAUCCGGAAGAACACCGGUGGCGAAGGCGGUCUGCUGGGCAGUUGCUGACGCUGAUGCGCGACAGCGUGGGGAGCGAACAGG
rnacentral:rRNA from 1 species